UACAGAGGCCUCGAGCGUUAGGCGGAAUCACUGGGCUUAAAGCGUGUGUAGGUGGAUGCCUAAGUACCUUGUGAAAUCCCACGGCUUAACCGUGGAACUGCUGGGUAUACUGGGCGUCUUGAGCCACUCAGGGGCUACCGGAACAAGCGGUGGAGCGGUGAAAUGCGUAGAUAUCGCUUGGAACGCCAAUGGUGAAAACAGGUAGCUGGGGGUGUGCUGACACUGAGACACGGAAAGCCAGGGAGCAAACGGG
rnacentral:rRNA from 1 species